rnacentral:lncRNA from 1 species
CCUGCACGCGACUCGGUCCUGAAGAGCUGCCCUUGCCCUUGACCAAGCGCACACAUCAGCCUUCCCCACCUGCAGCGCCCUUCACCCUCCUCGCUGUGAAACUGCAAACCAGCUGCACACAGGAAUGUUCCAGUCCAUCGUUAAUCGUUUCUCCACUCUGCCAGUUCAUCUUGACUCCCAC